rnacentral:rRNA from 1 species
UACGGAGGGUGCAAGCGUUGUCCGGAUUUAUUGGGCGUAAAGAGUUCGUAGGUGGUUCGUUAAGUCUGGUGUAAAAGACUGGGGCUCAACCCUGGGAUCGCACUGGAUACUGGCGGACUUGAGUGUGGUAGAGGCAAGUGGAAUUCCCAGUGUAGCGGUGAAAUGCGUAGAUAUUGGGAAGAACACCGGUGGCGCAAGCGACUUGCUGGGCCAUAACUGACACUGAGGAACGAAAGCUAGGGGAGCGAAUGGG